AGCAACACAGUACAAUACAACACAAAGAAGUAUGCAAUUCCAUGAGAAAAGGAUUAAACAAAUCUUCUUAAGAAAAGGGAAUAAAUUUGCAGGCAGAAGAUUAUACUGAACCAGACUAAAAAAAGAACAAAGAACAGAAGGAUUUGGUUAAUAACAAGAAGGG